UACGGAGGGUGCAAGCGUUAAUCGGAAUUACUGGGCGUAAAGCGCACGCAGGUGGCUGAGUCAGUCGAUUGUGAAAGCCCUGGGCUUAACCUGGGAAUUGCAGUCGAUACUGCUCAGCUAGAGUAUGGGAGAGGGUAGUGGAAUUCCCGGUGUAGCGGUGAAAUGCGUAGAUAUCGGGAGGAACAUCAGUGGCGAAGGCGGCUACCUGGCCCAAUACUGACACUCAGGUGCGACAGCGUGGGGAGCAAACAGG
rnacentral:rRNA from 1 species